rnacentral:rRNA from 1 species
AGUGGGGAAUAUUGCACAAUGGGCGAAAGCCUGAUGCAGCGACGCCGCGUGAGGGAUGACGGCCUUCGGGUUGUAAACCUCUUUCAGCAGGGAAGAAGCGAAAGUGACGGUACCUGCAGAAGAAGCGCCGGCUAACUACGUGCCAGCAGCCGCGGUAAUACGUAGGGCGCGAGCGUUGUCCGGAAUUAUUGGGCGUAAAGAGCUCGUAGGCGGCUUGUCACGUCGGUUGUGAAAGCCCGGGGCUUAACCCCGGGUCUGCAGUCGAUACGGGCAGGCUAGAGUUCGGUAGGGGAGAUCGGAAUUCCUGGUGUAGCGGUGAAAUGCGCAGAUAUCAGGAGGAACACCGGUGGCGAAGGCGGAUCUCUGGGCCGAUACUGACGCUGAGGAGCGAAAGCGUGGGGAGCGAACAGGAUUAGAUACCCUGGUAGUCCACGCCGUAAACGGUGGGCACUAGGUGUGGGCAACAUUCCACGUUGUCCGUGCCGCAGCUAACGCAUUAAGUGCCCCGCCUGGGGAGUACGGCCGCAAGGCUAAAACUCA